rnacentral:lncRNA from 1 species
UUGACCUUGCUGCCUUUUUUAACCCACACUACAAAAGGAAUGGAACAGAUAAGAAGAUACUGAAAUUGGACGGUGCUGCCGUGCGGCUGCCGCAGGACACCUUUAAUAUCCCUGUUUCUCAGGCUGUAGAUGAAGGGGUUCAGCAUGGAGGUGAUCACCGUGUACAUCACUGAGGCCACUGCAGCCUUUCUCGGGGAAGAUGACACAUCUGAACUGAGGUACCCUCCAAAGCCUGUUCCGUAAAAUCAGCAAACAACUGACAGGAUAACUUCAGGAAGUGGGUAUUAAUUCUCACGGUAUAAGUGAAGACAUUAAGCACCAGAGUUUAAGUAGCUUGAUCCACUGAAAGAGAUUCAACUGUGUGGAACCUAUGCCGUGGAGAAUUGCUUUCUGCCAUUGUUAUCGUCCAGCAGUUGCCGAAUAGCUCUGACCUGAGCAAAGCAGUGAAACGCGGUGCUGUUGAGUGGGUUGCCACUGCACCUUUUUCAACUACUCUAGUCUUGUGGAGAAAAUACCCCUUCUAAAUUUUUUCUUCAUUGAAUACUCUCCCUCAGCUCCAGAG